UCCCUGGUGGUCCACUGGUUAAGACUCUGUGCUCCUAAUGCAGGGGGCAUGGGUUCGAUCCCUGGUCGGGGAG
rnacentral:tRNA from 1 species